GACUACAUCAGGCACCGGCCCGGGUAAAGGCACGGGUAGGGUGAAACUAUUGAAAGCGCCACAGAAAGGUG
rnacentral:ribozyme from 1 species